rfam:Schistosoma mattheei strain Denwood, Zambia genome assembly, scaffold: SMTD_scaffold0020188
AUCCAGCUGAUGUGUCUCAAAUAGAACGAGACACGUGUCCUGGAU